UUCAUGGAGAGUUUGAUCCUGGCUCAGGACGAACGCUGGCGGCGUGCCUAAUACAUGCAAGUCGAGCGGACCAACGGGAGCUUGCUCCCUUAGGUUAGCGGCGGACGGGUGAGUAACACGUGGGUAACCUGCCUGUAAGACUGGGAUAACUCCGGGAAACCGGGGCUAAUACCGGAUGCUUGAUUGAACCGCAUGGUUCAAUUAUAAAAGGUGGCUUUUAGCUACCACUUACAGAUGGACCCGCGGCGCAUUAGCUAGUUGGUGAGGUAACGGCUCACCAAGGCAACGAUGCGUAGCCGACCUGAGAGGGUGAUCGGCCACACUGGGACUGAGACACGGCCCAGACUCCUACGGGAGGCAGCAGUAGGGAAUCUUCCGCAAUGGACGAAAGUCUGACGGAGCAACGCCGCGUGAGUGAUGAAGGUUUUCGGAUCGUAAAACUCUGUUGUUAGGGAAGAACAAGUACCGUUCGAAUAGGGCGGUACCUUGACGGUACCUAACCAGAAAGCCACGG
rnacentral:rRNA from 1 species